rnacentral:lncRNA from 1 species
AGAAAAUGCGGGUUAAGAAUGCAUUUCUUGUAUGGUUUAUCAUUAAAAAUAUAACGAGUAAUAAGUCAUUAGAUGUCUUCACCAUCACGCUAUGCCUUUCCAGCUUUACGUAUUGUUUAUACGACAUUAUCCUUUCAGAAAACGCUUCCGUGGUCGAUGGUAUACUCCAUUUUCAUACUCGCGUAGCCGAUUCAAACAAGUAAAAAGCGUCAAAGAUGUUUUUCAGAAGCGAAAAAGAAAGAAAGAACGAAAAAAAAAACGAGCCAAUAAAUCUGAUAGCAUAAAGUUAUUUGCGAGAGACAAAUUCGUUUGACCCGCUUGUCUGCAGCCAUUAGAUUUACUACCAACACACUAUAAACAGAUCAGUCGGCUGUUCAGUCAUAAAACCACCUCAAAUACCUCGGGAUUAGGGGCGUCGAAAGUGAAGUUGCUACUUUCCUUCAGUUCCGCCUUCAUAACCGGUAGUGGCUUUAUUAAAAUUUAGUCAUUCGUUGCACAUACAUUAAGGUAACAUCGAUCGGGUGCAGCCACUGCAUUUAUUGACGCUAGCAAGAAGUAAUUACUCUAUAUGGUGUGACGCUAAGAAGAAUUUCCAGUAAUCUCUGUAAUUCUUACUCUCCCCGCAACUAGCGAAAAAAAAAAAGAAAAAGUAUUAAGAAUGUAAAAAUUUUGUUAUCUCCAAACGUUUAUUUUUUGAAUCUCACGCUGAUUCAACCGUAUUUUUAUCUUAUCGAAAUAAAUUUAUCCUCUUAAAAACGUU